rnacentral:lncRNA from 1 species
UAGAUAUCCACGAGUUUUCAAAGAGCAUUCCGCCAAUCUCAUUUUUAACCCGUCUCCCCCGAAUUGCCCUAUGGAAAAAACCCGAAUUAGUGUCUCCCUCUUUUAGCCAUUUGAUUUUGGCUUUCUGUUGCAGCAUUAUCUGUUUAUUCUUGAUUUGAAGGGAGAGCAGGGCUUGAAUCUCAUUUCUCCUGAUCACCUCUGAUUCUUCAAGACCUCUCUGUUCGUCCACCUUAUCCUUCUCUUGAAGUUCCUUCUGAAGUUCUUUGAUUUUGUGGUCAAUCUCACCAAAAGAAGUCCGAUUCCACACCUUCAACGCCUCUUUGAGUUUCUUUAGUUUCUCCUUAACCUCAAAAAAGCUCCAUCCCCCCACAUUAGUCUCCGUCCAAACCUGCUUGACCAUCUCCUCGAACUCCGAAUGAUUCACCCAUGCAUUGAGGAACCGAAAAGGUCUUGGUCCCCAAUCCUCCGAUCUUGUAGUGAGAAUAAUCGGACAGUGAUCCGAAAUUGAACGUUGAAGUCCUCGUGCCGACGUUCCUUCCCAAGUAGCCAUCCACUUCUCAUUUACGAGGAAGCGAUCAAUCUUACUCUUGCACUUUCCAUUUGGUUUGUACCAAGUAAACUUCCGGCCUUGAGUUUUAAUUUCCUCCAAAUCGUUCUCCCGGAUAAAUUCUUCAAAACUUCUUGCAUCAGCCGCUCCAAACGCCUCCCCACUGCCCACACGUUCAUCCCUCCUCCUAACUGAGUUAAAGUCUCCCAAUAUACAGAUACUCCUAUCCGUAUUUUGUUCCACAAUUGUGCUUAAGGCAUCCCACAAGAUCCGCUUAUCCCCUGAGCCGACUGGUGCGUACACAUUGAUGAUGCAACAUAAGAUAUCACCCUCCUUGUACCUACCAUUCACCACCACCGCCCCCGGUAAAUCCCACGUACUAGAGGCUUCGAAAACCUCCCUAUUCCACAAGCAAACAAUUCCUCCCGCCCUUCCCUCCGAAUUCCUAAUCGCUAUGUCUGUAUAGUUAGACCCCCACCAAGAUUUACAGAACAAAUCCCUGAACACCUCCAUCUUUGUCUCCUGUAAGCAACAAAANCAGAAUGUGAAGUUAAAUCCAUCGGGUCCCGGACUCUUGUCUCCACAACAGCUCCAAACUGCUUCUUUAAUCUCGUCCAGAUCAAAAUCCCUGAUUAGCCACUGCCUCUCGUCAGUUGAAAUUUUCCUCCUCAUGAAGUCCCGGGGGAAAUCAGGCAUCAGUCGUUCUUUCCUUUGAAAAAGCUUCAAAAUGAUUUCUCACUCUUGCUUUAACCUCUUCCGGUUUAGAUAUCCAAGAGUUUUCAAAGAGCAUUCCGCCAAUUUCGUUUUUAACCCGUCUCCCACGAAUUGCCCUAUGAAAAAAACCCGAAUUAGUGUCUCCCUCUUUGAGCCAUUUGAUUUUGGCUUUCUGUUGCAGCAUCAUCUGUUUAUUCUUGAAUUGAAGGGAGAGCAUGGCUUGAAUCUCAUUUCUCCUGAUCACCUCUGAUUCUUCAAGACCUCUCUGUUCGUCCACCUUAU